CUCAGGUGAGCCAGGCGCAGGUGAGCCCCGCAGGUGCGGAGGCGGCUCGGGCACGCUGCGAGGGUUCCUCGGCCACCUGUGGAGCCGCUCCCGCCUCUACCGGGCGGCUCCGCGGGUGCGGGGAGCGCUCGCUCGGGGGACGGGGCCGUUCUCCCCCGGCCCUGGGGCAGCCGGGGCGGGCGAUCCGGGGAGAGCCCGAGCGGAGCCCGGCGGAGCGGCCGCGGAUCAGCACCACGGACAGCGCCCGGCGGGGCCGCACCGGGACGCGAGCCCCGCACCGGGACCGGCACCGCGGGCAGGACUCUCCCGGGACAUCACCGCCCACCGGAGGCACCGAGGCGGCGCUGGAUGCUCGCCGGGCCGGAUCUCAUAGAUGGAUCCAACCCAGAGGUCUCUGAAGAACAGGGGACUCAGGCAGUUCUCACCCAGCGCUGA
rnacentral:lncRNA from 1 species